CUGUGAUCCCGGACCCGCUCGACUACUUCUGUGUUCUCCAGCCCCGGACUUCCCGGAUCAUCCAGCUCCUGCCAUCGCUGUUCGGCUACUGGGGGAACACACACACGCAGACUCUUGGAACUCCCGUACCCCCCUGAAACCCCCGUAACCCCCAUCCCUUAAAUAAACUUUUGAACGUGA